rnacentral:tRNA from 1 species
GCGGAUGUACCCAAGUGGAUCAAGGCAGUGGAUUGUGAAUCCCCCAGGCCGGAAAGCAAGAAAUACGCAGA